UACGUAGGGUGCAAGCGUUGUCCGGAAUUAUUGGGCGUAAAGAGCUCGUAGGCGGUUCGUCGGCGUCGGCUGUGAAAACCUGAGGCUCGAACCUCAGGCCUGCAGUCGAUACGGGCGGACUUGAGUACUGCAGGGGAGACUGGAAUUCCUGGUGUAGCGGUGAAAUGCGCAGAGUAUCAGGAGGAACACCGGUGGCGAAGGCGGGAUCUCGUGGGCCAGUGAACUGACGCUGAGGAGCGAAAGCGUGGGGAGCGAACAGG
rnacentral:rRNA from 1 species